rnacentral:rRNA from 1 species
CCUACGGGGGGCUGCAGUGGGGAAUAUUGCACAAUGGGCGCAAGCCUGAUGCAGCCAUGCCGCGUGUGUGAAGAAGGCCUUCGGGUUGUAAAGCACUUUCAGCGGGGAGGAAGGCGUUAAGGUUAAUAACCUUGGCGAUUGACGUUACCCGCAGAAGAAGCACCGGCUAACUCCGUGCCAGCAGCCGCGGUAAUACGGAGGGUGCAGGCGUUAAUCGGAAUUACUGGGCGUAAAGCGCACGCAGGCGGUCUGUCAAGUCGGAUGUGAAAUCCCCGGGCUCAACCUGGGAACUGCAUUCGAAACUGGCAGGCUAGAGUCUUGUAGAGGGGGGUAGAAUUCCAGGUGUAGCGGUGAAAUGCGUAGAGAUCUGGAGGAAUACCGGUGGCGAAGGCGGCCCCCUGGACAAAGACUGACGCUCAGGUGCGAAAGCGUGGGGAGCAAACAGGAUUAGAUACCCUAGUAGUC